CGGUGGUAGAGCUAGCAUCUUUCUCCGGAGCGGCCGCUGGCAGAAACAUGCUGCUGGGCAUCAUCACCUCUGGUGUUGUCACCGUCAUGAUGAGCUUCUCAACGCAGUCAGGGGACACACUGUGCAGGUGAGUGAGGUGCAGCUGCAGGUGGAUCUUGUUGUUGAGCAUGUCCUGGCAGAGCGGGCAGCGGAGCAUGGGCUGCACCGAGUGCUGGGUCAUGG
rnacentral:lncRNA from 1 species